rnacentral:rRNA from 1 species
UACGAAGGGGGCUAGCGUUGUUCGGAAUUACUGGGCGUAAAGCGCACGUAGGCGGACUAUUAAGUCAGGGGUGAAAUCCUGGAGCUCAACUCCAGAACUGCCUUCGAUACUGGAAAGCUCGAGUCCGGGAGAGGUGAGUGGAACUGCGAGUGUAGAGGUGAAAUUCGUAGAUAUUCGCAAGAACACCAGUGGCGAAGGCGGCUCACUGGCCCGGUACUGACGCUGAGGUGCGAAAGCGUGGGGAGCAAACAGG